GUGGCGGACGGGUGAGUAACACGUGGGUAACCUGCCCUUAAGUGGGGGAUAACAUUUGGAAACAGAUGCUAAUACCGCAUAGAUCCAAGAACCGCAUGGUUCUUGGCUGAAAGAUGGCGUAAGCUAUCGCUUUUGGAUGGACCCGCGGCGUAUUAGCUAGUUGGUGAGGUAACGGCUCACCAAGGCGAUGAUACGUAGCCGAACUGAGAGGUUGAUCGGCCACAUUGGGACUGAGACACGGCCCAAACUCCUACGGGAGGCAGCAGUAGGGAAUCUUCCACAAUGGACGCAAGUCUGAUGGAGCAACGCCGCGUGAGUGAAGAAGGCUUUCGGGUCGUAAAACUCUGUUGUUGGAGAAGAAUGGUCGGCAGAGUAACUGUUGUCGGCGUGACGGUAUCCAACCAGAAAGCCACGGCUAACUACGUGCCAGCAGCCGCGGUAAUACGUAGGUGGCAAGCGUUAUUCGGAUUUAUUGGGCGUAAAGCGAGCGCAGGCGGUUUUUUAAGUCUGAUGUGAAAGCCCUCGGCUUAACCGAGGAAGCGCAUCGGAAACUGGGAAACUUGAGUGCAGAAGAGGACAGUGGAACUCCAUGUGUAGCGGUGAAAUGCGUAGAUAUAUGGAAGAACACCAGUGGCGAAGGCGGCUGUCUGGUCUGUAACUGAC
rnacentral:rRNA from 1 species